CCAUCGAGCUAUAUAUACACACUCAUCAUUUCACACACUUUGUGUGUAAUCUGAUUCUAAAUUCUAUUUUCUUUAUGAAAAUACUCUCCAUUUUAUGUUCUAUAAUUCAACUUUUCGGGCUUUUCAGUGUGUCAAUUGGAUUGUGGAUCCCCCAAAAGUAAUUUCGAUCCUCAAUUAACAUUUUGCCAUCAAUAUGAUGGCUUUAAUAUUUUGGGUGGAUAGUUGCUUGCUUCUUCUUACUACUCCAUGCCUCCCAUUUUAUAUGAUGUUUUUUUUUAUAACUGUGGUGUUGGGGCACCUAAGCUAGUUUCACCUCCCACCAACAACAUAUACCAGGUAACUUUGUCUGCUAAAACUUAGAUAAAAAGAAAGAAAUCACCUUGUGUUUUUACCUUCAUUAGAAUUUGAACCCGAGAACUCAUAUUCUCGCCCCUUCGUCAACCACUAGGCCACACUCUUGGGUGUCCCAUUUUAUAUUGCAUUGUAGAUUGUGCAGGAAUGUAAGAAAAAAGACUCACCUUUGAAACUUGUGUCUAAAACAAACAAUAAAUAUUUGUGACCAUAACUAUCUCAUUAAAGUUAAAAUAAGAAGUUUAAUGAUGAAUUAUUUCUAAAUAUAAAAAGGUAUCAGGAUAGACUAGAAAAGGAAGGUGCAUCACAUAAAUUGGGAUAGAAGGAGAAUACCAAUGUUAGGAACCAUAAAUUGUUGGAUUUUGAGAGAGAGAGAGAUCAGUAAAUGGCUGAAACUUUGUUUUAUAGAGCUCACGUCAUAAUAGAAAUCCAUAAUUGCGACACAUGGACCAUUUGAUGUUAUUAAUGAUAAUGCAUUUCUACAAUUUCAUGGUGUUUAAUAGGUUGCUCCAUUGAGGUACCCUGAUGUUUGGAAGGGAAGAUUCCCAUUUUAUUACGCCAUAGGAAGUAUCAAAGCGUACAUUUUAUAUGAGUAGAACAAUGGCAUACCUUAAAUUGGAUGGAAAGAAUUUAGGUGAUAACAAAAAUUAUGUGCUAGCCUGAUUAUGCUUACAUCAAGGGUAUUUAUAAAAAAUCGAAAAAUCGAACCAAACCGACCAAACAAACUGAUACUUUUUAGGUUUGGUUUG
rnacentral:lncRNA from 1 species